rnacentral:rRNA from 1 species
GAUGAACGCUGGCGGCGUGCCUAAUACAUGCAAGUCGAGCGAACGGACGAGAAGCUUUCUUCUCUGAUGUUAGCGGCUGACGGGUGAGUAACACGUGGAUAACCUACCUAUAAGACUGGGAUAACUUCGGGAAACCGGAGCUAAUACCGGAUAAUAUUUUGAACCGCAUGGUUCACAAGUGAAAGACGGUCUUGCUGUCUCUUAUAGAUGGAUCCGCUCUGCAUUAGCUAGUUGGUAAGGUAACGGCUUACCAAGGCAACGAUGCAUAGCCGACCUGAGAGGGUGAUCGGCCACACUGGAACUGAGACACGGUCCAGACUCCUACGGGAGGCAGCAGUAGGGAAUCUUCCGCAAUGGGCGAAAGCCUGACGGAGCAACGCCGCGUGAGUGAUGAAGGUCUUCGGAUCGUAAAACUCUGUUAUUAGGGAAGAACAUAUGUGUAAGUAACUGUGCACAUCUUGACGGUACCUAAUCAGAAAGCCACGGCUAACUACGUG